UGACAAACCGCUGAACUGGAACUGGAGA
rnacentral:piRNA from 1 species